ensembl:snRNA U1 U1 spliceosomal RNA
AUAUUUGUACUGAAAUCAGUAGCCCUUCACGGACAUAUCACCCAGGGUGAGGAUCAGCAAUUGCACUCCGAUUGACCGCUACGAAUUUCCCAAAUGUGGAAAUCUCAAUUUAAUCAUUUCUGCUAGUGUGGGACUGCGUUCGCGCUCUCCCCUG